ensembl:ncRNA T10B5.12 ncRNA
GUAGGCUUAGGCUUAGGCUUAGGCUCAGGCUUAGGUUUAGGGCUAGCCUUAGGCUUAGGCUUA